GUGCCAGCAGCCGCGGUAAUACCGGCAGCCCAAGUGAUGGCCGCUGUUAUUGGGCCUAAAGCGUCCGUAGCUGGCCGCACAAGUCCGUCGGGAAAUCCGCCCGCUCAACGGGCGGCCGUCCGGCGGAACCUGUGUGGCUUGGGACCGGGAGGCCUGAGGGGUACGAUCGGGGUAGGAGUGAAAUCCCAUAAUCCCGCACGGACCACCGAUGGCGAAAGCACCUCGAGAGGACGGACCCGACAGUGAGGGACGAAAGCCAGGGUCUCAAACCGGAUUAGAAACCCGUGUAGUCC
rnacentral:rRNA from 1 species